UACGGAGGGAGCUAGCGUUAUUCGGAAUUACUGGGCGUAAAGCGCACGUAGGCGGCUUUGUAAGUUAGAGGUGAAAGCCUGGAGCUCAACUCCAGAACUGCCUUUAAGACUGCAUCGCUUGAAUCCAGGAGAGGUGAGUGGAAUUCCGAGUGUAGAGGUGAAAUUCGUAGAUAUUCGGAAGAACACCAGUGGCGAAGGCGGCUCACUGGACUGGUAUUGACGCUGAGGUGCGAAAGCGUGGGGAGCAAACAGGAUUAGAAACCCCUGUAGUCC
rnacentral:rRNA from 1 species